rnacentral:misc_RNA from 1 species
GCAGCACAUUAAUAAAAGAAGUAUUAAAACAAUUUCCAAUUAAGUUUUUUAGCACUUUAACUUGAGAUUUUCAGGUUCUCUCUAAUAAGCUUGUUUAACUACAACCAUAGGUCGCAAAAAGAAACUCUCAAUUCAGACUUCACUUUCUUAUCCUAAAUCUCUAGUCCAUAGGCCCAUAACAUGAUCCAUCUUGAGGGACCAUAACAAAGUACUAAAAUUCGUAAACCACCCCCACCCCCCAACCCUGUUUUCUUUCUUGUUGGUGUGUGUAAGUACUUGGAUUCAUA